AUGCAGGUUCCAUCCCUGAUCUCGCUCAGUGGGUUAAGGAUCCGGCGUUGCUGUGAGAUGUGGUGUAGGUCACAGACAUGGCUCAGAUCCUGCGUUGCUGUGGCUCUGGCACAGGCUGGCAGCUGUAGCUCCGAAUCAACCCCUAGCCAAGGAACCUCCAUAUGCUGCAGAUGUGGCCCUAAAAAGACAAAGACAACAACAACAAAAAGAUUUCUAUGUUCUGCAGUCCAUUCUCUGGGAGAUCUAGGAGAUCUUGGAGCAGAGAACAAAACCUCCAAGCAAAGGACUCAUUUUUUAUCUUGAUUGAAAGGCCAGUGAGCAGACAGGAGAAGAAUAUUUUCAGCAAGUCACAUCUCAUCCCUGAAAUGGUGGCUCCCACGCUACCCUCAAGAGCUGGUCUUAUUCUCACUUGCUCUCUCUCUUCAGAGUUUGCCUCGUUACAUUACUGUAAUUGAGUUUGUUAAUGAAAUCAUCCAUUCCUCUUGGAUUUUACCUCUUUUUUGUUUUGUGGGUUUUUUGUUUUUUUGGUUUUUUUUUGGCUUUUUUGAGGGGGGAGCACUGCUAGGUCUGCCUUAUUGCAACAGUGUUUUUAAACCUCCCACCACCCUUGUGAAUCCAAACCUAGAGGAUAAACUCCUGUUCUCUUUGUCAUUAUUUAUUUAGAUUUAACUGUGCAAAGGCAGAGUAGGCUAUUCCUCACCAUUACUGUUUCCCUCUCUUUCCUCAUCUUCCCCUCUGGUUCAUUAGUUGCUUCAAAAGAGGCCCUUGGUUUGAAUUCCUCAAAUAGAGCAUGUGGUGACACACUCUCUGUAGCCCAUCACAUCCACCCUGAUAGACAAGGCUGUCAGGUGGACUGUAGGGUCCUUAGGUCAAGGUCCCCUUCUUUCAUUAGAUGUUAUUCACAGUUUUCUAGUGCCCAGGGUCACAGAUGAAAAGCCGGAUGACAGUCUGAUUCUCUUUUAUAACUUAUUUGUGCUUUCUGUCUGGAAGCUCACAGAAACAUCUCUUUAUCCUGAGAGUUGAGGAAUUUCACAGGCUAUUAUUUUAUUACUCAAUGUAUGCCUUUUUCCCUCAAUCCCAGCCUGGAAUUCCCUGAGACCUUUUACUUUUUCUUUCUUCUUCCUUUUUUUUUAAGGCUACACCUGAGGUAUCCAGGGCCAAAUAGGAGCUGCAGCUGCCAGCCUAUACCACAGUCAUGGCAACACCAGAUCCGAGCUACAUCUAAGCUGCAAAGCCAGAUCCUUAACCCACCGAGGGAGGCCAGGGAUCGAACCUGCAUCCUCGCAAACACUAUGUUGAGUUA
rnacentral:lncRNA from 1 species